GGGGGGGGGGGGGGGGGGGGCGGGGGGGGGGGAGGUGAGCGGGGGGGGGGGGUGCGGGUGCCGACUGGGUGGGCAGCGAACGGGUGAGUAACGCGUGGGGAAUCUGCCUGUGAGCGGGGGACAACAUUUGGAAGCGAAUGCUAAUACCGCAUAAAAACUUUAAACACAAGGUUUAAGUUUGAAAGAUGCAAUUGCAUCACUCAAAGAUGAUCCCGCGUUGUAUUAGCUAGUUGGUGAGGUAAAGGCUCACCAAGGCGAUGAUACAUAGCCGACCUGAGAGGGUGAUCGGCCACAUUGGGACUGAGACACGGCCCAAACUCCUACGGGAGGCAGCAGUAGGGAAUCUUCGGCAAUGGACGAAAGUCUGACCGAGCAACGCCGCGUGAGUGAAGAAGGUUUUCGGAUCGUAAAACUCUGUUGGUAGAGAAGAACGUUGGUGAGAGUGGAAAGCUCAUCAAGUGACGGUAACUACCCAGAAAGGGACGGCUAACUACGUG
rnacentral:rRNA from 1 species